CUCAUUUUCCUUUUUGGUGUUUUUGCAUUGCUGAUUUCUUCAAAUCCAAAUAGUUUGGAUCUAUUAGAGAACCUUUGUAUUUUGACUUCUUCAAUUGAUACUCAAAGCUUCUUCAACAAUGCUUCGGAAACAAAUGCUCACAUUUGGCCUCCUGUGACUAACGACGGCUGAUCAGACUUGGCCUCGGGUGUCUCCAACGACCAUAAUGACAGCUGUUACAACUGCGAGGAACACUAACGAACAAGAGGAAAACACAGGUUGCACAUGAAAAUCACCAUUUAACUGCUGAAUAAAUCAACAAAAUGGGGAACGCACAAUCAGACAAACCAUUACCACCAUUUCUACCAUUAUUCAGCUGGAUAUGCUGCAAGUGUGGUAAAGUCAUGCCUCAAUGGACCAUUGUUGAUCAUUACAUAACUACUGUUCAUGGGCAGCAUGUAGUUGUGUACAAUGGAGGUGAAUUCUACAGACCAGUUGGCUUUAAUCUUAUGUUUGAGUGUGCACAUUGCUUUAAUAAGCCAAUCAGGGAUCAAGAGGAAAAGAGUAAAGAGGAGGAGAGAAGAAGAGAGGAGGAGAGACAGAGAGAGGAGGAGAGGAGAAGAGAAGAGGAGAGAAGAAGAGAGGAGGAGAGACAAAAACUGGAUCAAAGUCUACAAGAAUCGCAGCAACGAGCCAAAGAGCAGCAUGAGAAACAACAGAGCAGCAACAUUUCAGAAGAAUAUGAGUCCAAGCAAGAUGUUCAGAUGUGGCAUCUGAAUGAGUUUGAGGCUAAGUAUGAAUCCGGCAGGGAUGAGCUUCUAGAAAUCCUCUCUAAGAAAUGCAGUUCCCCUGUUCCAGAUCUGAGUCUCACUCAGCUGACAGCAGACCAGCAGCGGGAGAUCCUGUCAGUCCUGGACAAACUUCUGUUCGAUGAAUGGAUCAGUG